rnacentral:pre_miRNA from 12 species
CCGGCCGGCGUCCCGGGCGUCGCGGGACCGCCCUCGUGCUGGUGGCGGUGGGAUCCCGUGCGCGUUUACCCGGUGGCCCGGCUCGC